AAUACGAACGAUGUACUCAUUCAUAAUGUGACUGAGGAUAUGACUAUGCAGUCAGUAACUCCGCGCCUUUGUCAACACAACUCACAGUGUCCUCCACCACUGUUUCAUCUUCUACUUCAACAGCUGAAAUUACCACUGAGCAAUCAGAUAAACGGAAGAGGGAAUCAAUUAGGAGAGUUCUUUUUACUGCCGGCGAACAAAGUGGAGCCGAGGAAAUUUCAGACAUAGAUCUAAGAGAAUUGGAUGAAGUGCCAAUCAAAUUGCUUAAGAAGAAGUCAUCCCCAACUGGUGAAAAGUUGAACUCCACUCCUCCAAAAAGAAGCUAGGUUGGUUUUUCAAAAAUGGACGGUGCAAUAGCAGAAGUUGACCGCAAUGCCCAAAAAUUCUGAUGGUUUUUUGUUAAUAUGUAUCAAACAAUAUUUAUCUUAUCUGGUUGCGAUGUAAAUAUCUCUCUAAACUGAACUUCGUAGUAUAUUUUGCCUGUAAAUAGACCAGUACUUGCCAAUUUUUUGUAUCCGAAUGCUGGUUGCGCUUGAAAGCUGGUUCCAAGUGCUAAAAUCGAACACAUGUCUGUAAUAUUUUUUUGUAUGUAAAUAAACAACUUUUAACCUUUUGUAUCUGCAUUGUACAAAUUAAACAUUUUCUUUAUAACCCUUUUGUGAGCUCUCUAUUUUUUAUGCUGUCGAUGUUUUAUCAUGCCAUUUCUACAUCUUCUCAGCAUGAUGUUAAGUAUACUUUCCCACCUGCAGUUGUUUUGAAGUAACGUUCGUCCAAACUAUGAUUUUGUCUCUGUAAUCAGAUGCUUCAAAUCGCUGUUUGGUUUCGUUCUUCUUCACUUUCAAGAACGAUCAAUGUUUAUUGAAGGUAUAUAACCCGUUCAGGCAUUUAGUUUUUUUGCUUUGAUUUGAAGAAUUUCUUACCUAGCAUUUGAUCCUAGCUACUGAUAAGAGUCAGGUUUUAUAACUCAAACCAUUUCCAAUAGCCAUUUGGUAAUAGGAUGAAGUUCAUGCAUAUAAAAGUGGUUUCCUAAACAAUUACAUCAAAUUUUGAAGUAAAAAAUCUAAUAACAUUACUAUACUUUCAGUUUGAUUCAAUGACAUCAAAUUUUGACGUAACAAAAAGUUUUUUUGCUUUCAUUUUACAAAACUCAUUGAUGUACUCAUCUAAUUCUUAAAUUUUCAGUCUUUUUAAUGAAUAGUUUGGUAUUUGGGCAGCUUUAAUCUUUCAUUUUAAAUAUGUGAUUUUGUCUAAUUUUUUCUGAUCCUCAAUUUCUAUUGUCGUUUACAGUUUAAUGGACAUUCUUAAAUGACUUUGGUUAACACCAAACAAAUGAUAUGUGCCAUUUUUUUUUUCCUAUUCCUUUACUUUCAUUCAAAGUUUUGUUUGAAUUCACAAGCCGCUAUACACCUUUGAUUCAAACUUCA